rnacentral:lncRNA from 1 species
UUCUUGGCAAUCUUGUUGGGUAGAUUUUUUAGUUCUUCUUUGUUCGGUGGAAGUGCUGCAAUAAAAGCCCUUUUUUUUCAUGAUCUAUGUAAAGGCGGAGUAAUGUUGUGGUUGAGGACUAAGAGAAAGAUUUGCAAAGCUAAAUCCUUGCUGUACAAGUUGAGACACUUAUUGAAUCCCUUUUGUUUGUUUUUUUGUUUGUUUAUUCAUUUAUUUGCUUAUUUUUAAUUAAAUUGAAUUGAAGGUUCUUAAAAGAAUUUCAUUCAUUGAUGUUGGUGGUAUUGGUGAAGCAGUCUAGGCAAAAAUGAAUCAUGCAGAUGUUCUUCACAGUUGUUGUCAGU